rnacentral:rRNA from 1 species
UACGUAGGGUGCAAGCGUUGUCCGGAAUUAUUGGGCGUAAAGAGCUCGUAGGUGGUUUGUCGCGUUGUUCGUGAAAACUCACAGCUCAACUGUGGGCGUGCGGGCGAUACGGGCAGACUAGAGUACUGCAGGGGAGACCGGAAUUCCUGGUGUAGCGGUGGAAUGCGCAGAUAUCAGGAGGAACACCGGUGGCGAAGGCGGGUCUCUGGGCAGUAACUGACGCUGAGGAGCGAAAGCGUGGGGAGCGAACAGG